UUUCCUACGGGAGGCAGCAGUGAGGAAUAUUGGUCAAUGGCCGAGAGGCUGAACCAGCCAAGUCGCGUGAGGGGUGACGGCCCUACGGGUUGUAAACCUCUUUUGUCGGGGAGCAAAGAGAGUCACGUGUGGCUCAUUGAGAGUACCCGAAGAAAAAGCAUCGGCUAACUCCGUGCCAGCAGCCGCGGUAAUACGGAGGAUGCGAGCGUUAUCCGGAUUUAUUGGGUUUAAAGGGAGCGUAGGUGGAUUGUUAAGUCAGUUGUGAAAGUUUGCGGCUCAACCGUAAAAUUGCAGUUGAAACUGGC
rnacentral:rRNA from 1 species